rnacentral:rRNA from 1 species
GUGAGGAAUAUUGCACAAUGGGGGCAACCCUGAUGCAGCAACGCCGCGUGGGUGAUGAAGGCCUUCGGGUCGUAAAACCCUUUUCUGGGGGAAGAGUAAGGACGGUACCCCAGGAAUAAGUCCCGGCUAACUACGUGCCAGCAGCCGCGGUAAAACGUAGGGGGCGAGCGUUAUCCGGAAUUACUGGGCGUAAAGCGCGUGCAGGCGGUUUGAUAGGUUGGACGUGAAAGCUCCUGGCUUAACUGGGAGAGGCCGUUCAAAACCAUCAGACUUGAGGGCGGAAUAGGGGAGUGGAAUUCCCGGUGUAGUGGUGGAAUGCGUAGAUAUCGGGAGGAACACCUGUGGCGAAAGCGGCUCCCUGGUCCGCUCCUGACGCUCAGACGCGAAAGCGUGGGGAGCGAACGGGAUUAGAAACCCCUGUAGUCC